GUAGCGGCUCGAGUUAACAACUUUGUGAGGAGCCAUUGAUUCCCGACUCAAGGGCUCAACGCCGAUCCUCUUCCUCCCUCCAUCGUCAAACUGAACGAUCCUCCGCCGCCUCCUCUGUCACCUCCGGACGGCCUCUCGUUCUCUCAACCUUCAGAGCCCCAACAAUGCCUUUAAGGAGAUUGAUAGAGGUGGAACCGCCGAGCCCGCUGAGAUACAUAAUCGGAGCUGCGAUCAUGAUGAUCGGAGUGGUCUUACCCGUCGGUUACAUGAUGUUCCGUAACAAGCGCGUCCCUACUUCUUCUUCGUACUCCAAACAGACAAACAAAGUUUUGAUAUAGAGACAGAGAGAGAGAGAUUAGAGAGAUUACAAGGAUUUCGGAUUUGAUUUUUCGUGUUCAGAAGUUGAAAAGCUGCGAGGCACUGAUGGAUCCGUCACCGUCAUUUACAAAUGUAGAGGCUGGAUGGAGCGAUAAACAGUCGCUUGUAGAUGACCCCGAUAUGUUGGGAUGAAUCUAGUUGAGUUGAGUGUAAAGAUAGUGAAUAUAAGCUACCCACUAUUAGUUUCACCAAUACACUUGCUUGUGGUAAUGUCCUCCGGUUUCGGUUUGAUUGACUGGUGGACUGAUUGAUUAUCCUGUAUGUUCUAGUACCUAGUUAUGUUGACUUAUCCAGAAGAAAUUUUCAGUGGUAGUGGCAUUCAGCAAUUCUAGUCUAGUUUUCGGUUCA